rnacentral:misc_RNA from 1 species
CUUCAUUGCUUUUUUUUCCUUUUUACUCUGCUCAUUUUUGCUAGUAGAAGCAAUGGAUCCAUCAUUUGAAAUUCAAAAAAAAAAUGCAUGUCAUUGCCCAUUCAUGUGUUUCAUAGACAACAUAUGAAUUUGAACCAAUGAAAUCAUUGCCAAACCUCACAUGCAGAAAUUCCACUACAAAUUUGCAACAUUAUAACUUUGUGAUCACAAAUGAACAUAAUAAUGAAUAUGAAAUUGUUGAAUUAUAAAAGAAG